CUGAAAGGGUUCCUGCUUCUUUCUGUCCUUUCAUAGGUUGGCCAACACCUAAGCAGCUCCCUAUUUGCGUGUAACUGCUUCCUCCAGCCACAUGGUAAUGCCUUGUUUAUGACCUGGUAGUCUAAAGAGCAAGGUGUUUUAGAGUAAGACAUAUGUGGAAGCUACCUCAGAUGUUAUCAGAUUCUUCUGUCCUUCCUUCGACCCUUUCAAAAAGCACAUGAGGAAACUGAGGUCCAUAAAAGCCAUUGGAAUGGCAAAGGGAGAGAGAAGGUGGAAUCCGCUUUUAUUCAAUUCUGCAUUAAAUAAUGUCCUUAAUUACUAAAGUGAAGUUCUGCUAUGUCUGAUGGGGAAGAGGCAUCUUGGCCAUCAUACAGACACAGGAAGGACCUGGAAUCUUGAUUAUUGCCCACAAGGGAGGAUACUCUCUUCUAUUUGCAGUGUGCAGAAAUAUCCAUGUCAAUGAGGAUGACAUUGAUCCCCAAUCCCAGUAGAAGCAUUCAAGUCUAAUCACAUUUAUGAGGAGUAAAAAUAACAAAAGCAGAUUCAUAACACUGGUGUGCAUCACAUCAAAGGAGAAGAGGUGGUGGUAAGGUUGCGUUCCCCCAGUAGACAGACACUGAGAUGGAAAUUUGCAUACCGAAGGUGGAUUGAGGAUUGUUUAUCUGAAAAAAACAUCUAUGGUGGAGUAAGAAAAAUCACGACUGGGCUAUGGAGAAAGCUGAACUGGGAUGCAGAACAGAAGCUUCAGCCUCACUCGUGGGGAGCUCUGGCGCUAAAAAAACUCAUCGAAGAUUUCCCAAAUUGGAACAAGGCCUCUGUACUCCUGCAUUGACCAGUCAUGUGCCACUGUCACAAUGCUCUCAUGCCAAACCUUGACUGCAAAGCUGAGAUGUUAAUAUGGAACACCUGAGAGGGCUGGCACUUCAGCGUCCUUAUUCCUCCAGAACCACACCACAAAAGUCACCUUCUCCCCAGACAGAUUCUCUACAAAAUGCCUUGCAGCCGAGGUGUGGUGGAAAGAAUAUUGUAUUUGGAAUAAAAAAUUUUUGAUUUUGCACCAUCA
rnacentral:lncRNA from 10 species